rnacentral:rRNA from 1 species
AAUUCGAUUCAGCAGCCGCGGUAAUACGUAGGCCCCGAACGUUAUCCGGAGUUACUGGGCGUAAAGAGUCCGUAGCCGGCUAAGUAAGUCUGCCUUCAAAGACUGAAGCUCAACUUCAGGAGGGGGGUAGAUACUGCUUAGCUAGAGAUACUGGGGGGUUAGUGGAAUUCCCGGUGGAGCGGUGAAAUGCGUUGAUAUCGGGAGGAACGCCGAAAGUGAAGACAGCUAACUACUGGUAAUCUGACGGUGAGGGACGAAAGCGUAGGGAGCGAACAGGAUUAGAUACCCUGGUAGUCUACGCUGUAAACGAUGUGAGCUAAGCGUUGGCUUUUAAAGUCAGUGCUGAACCUAACGGGAUAAGCUCACCGCCUGGGGAGUAUAGUCGCAAGGCUGAAACUCAAAAGGAUAGGCGGGGGAACACACAAGCAGUGGAUCGUCUCGAUUAAUUGGAUAAUAAGCCAAGAAUCUUACCCGGGCUUGACAUGCUAAGGAAUCUUGCUGAAAGGUGAGAGUGCCCUGAAAAGGGAGCCUUAGUACAGGUGCUGCAUGGCCGUCGUCAGCUCGUGCCGCAAGGUGUCCGGUUAAUUCCGGUAACGAGCGCAACCCUUGCUCCUAGUUAGAGAUGUCUAGGAGGACUGCCGGGGUAACCCGGAGGAAGGAGAGGACGACGUCAGGUCAUCAUGGCCCUUAUGUCCGGGGCGUCAGAGGCGAUACAAUGGGGCGAUACAAACCGAAGCGAAUGGGUGACCUGGAGCAAAUCGGAUAAAACGUCCCCAAGUACGGAUUCAGUCUGGAACUGACUGCAUGAAGUCGGAAUUGCUAGUAAUGGUGGGUCAGCAUACCACCGUGAUAUGUCCCUGUUCCUUGUACUCACCGCCCGU